rnacentral:tRNA from 1 species
GCCGUGUUGGCUCAAUUGGGACAGCACCUGACUUGAAAUCAGGCAUUCCGAAAGGAUAUCAGGGUUCGACUCCCUGGCACGGCG